rnacentral:rRNA from 1 species
UACGGAGGGUGCAAGCGUUAUCCGGAUUCACUGGGUUUAAAGGGUGCGUAGGUGGGUAGGUAAGUCAGUGGUGAAAUCCCCGAGCUUAACUUGGGAACUGCCGUUGAUACUAUCUAUCUUGAAUAUCGAGUAGGUAAGCGGAAUAUGUCAUGUAGCGGUGAAAUGCUUAGAUAUGACAUAGAACACCAAUUGCGAAGGCAGCUUACUUCAAGAUUAUUGACACUGAGGCACGAAAGCGUGGGGAGCAAACAGG